GUUAAUUUUAUUGAAGGCACACAUUUUACUAACACUGAAUUGGGAGUCUGCAAGAUUUCUGCUUCGCAGCGCGCAUAUUUUAUGCGUUGCGGCCGGUUUUCGGACAAACAGCCACAAGCGUUUUCCAGUCUGGCAACGGUGGCGGCCGCUCUCCAGCUCUUGCGUAGUAGAGGCAGCUGGAGCUCGCUACGGUCGUUUGUGUCUGCGUCUCGCCCGUUCUUCGCCGCCUCACCUCGUCUCACCGCUUAUCUGCUUCGCUGUCACCGCCUAGAACGAGCAUUUUCACCCUUCCUCUUUCUUCAGAGUCCUACUAGGGUGCCUUGCCCGUUCCACGAAGGUGACAAGAAGGGGCGAGUGGUUCCACGAAGGAGGGGAGCUUCUUUGUCGUUCUACUAACAACUACCCGAAAGAAGCUGAAAUUGACGCUUAAAAGAGUCUGCACCAAGUAAAACCGCCAGCCGCAUGUCCGCCCACCAGUGUUGCGACUACGGUAAAUCCAAGUGGAAGAAAACAGACUCCGAGAAGAAGCAGGGCAUCCGCAACAGGAGGGGGCACUGGUGUUUCACCUGCUGAACAAUGAGCCCGUCCCUCCAGCUUGUGGGGGCACUGAUGUCCUACAUGGCAAUGCGGCUGCCAAGCCCGUACAACAGUGGCAGCACCCGCACUGGUUAGCCGGUGCUCUCAAUGCUGCCAGCCGCCAUUCCCCAAGCCACAGUGAACGAGCGUGACGACUGACAUCAUGCCUGAUUCGCCUGCCUCACUGCUGCUGGACUGGGGUGACAUCAUGGAGUUUGCGGUUGCUGCGUCACCAACCAAGUCCCCGACUCCUCUACCUUCUCAGCCGCCACGUGUGGUUGUCCGAGUGAACCGACGUGAGGAGCUGCACCUGCUGCAGCUGGAGCUACGUCAAUGUCAGGUUGCCUAUUAGCAGACGCAGGCCCAGGUUUUCCAUCAGCAGCAGCACAACGAGCUGGUUCUAGCUUGAGCUGCUCCAGCUCAACAAACUUAUCAAGCUGCAACUGCUUGUUCUCGGGGCCCAGCCACAACAGUAGGCUGAUUUAUUCGAUUUGUUUCAUCUUCCUCUUUAGUAAUUACCAUUCUCUUUAGUGUUUAAGAUUGCUUUUUAAAGUCUGUAACUUGCUUCAUUUUAUCCCUGACCUAAGUUGUUAUGAGUAUUGACCGUAUCUCGUUCA